ensembl:snRNA U6 U6 spliceosomal RNA
GUGCUUGCCUUGUCAGCACAUAUACUGAAAUCGGAAUGAUACAGAGAUUAGCAUGGUCCCUGUGUAAGGAAGACAUGCAAAUUCAUGAAGUGUUCCAUAUUUAU